rnacentral:rRNA from 1 species
CAGCCGCCGCGGGAAUACGAAGGGGGCUAGCGUUGCUCGGAAUUACUGGGCGUAAAGGGCGCGUAGGCGGACAGUUAAGUCGGGGGUGAAAGCCCGGGGCUCAACCUCGGAAUUGCCUUCGAAACUGGCUGUCUUGAGUACGGGAGAGGUGAGUGGAACUCCGAGUGUAGAGGUGAAAUUCGUAGAUAUUCGGAAGAACACCAGUGGCGAAGGCGACUCACUGGCCCGUUACUGACGCUGAGGCGCGAAAGCGUGGGGAGCAAACAGGAUUAGAUACCCCAGUAGUCCCUGUCUCUUAUAC